AUUGUUGGCUUAUUCCACAACUGAAGUGAGAGGUGAACAGACAUGGAUUUCCGUUGUCAAAAAUCAGAACUUAUGUUCCUGUUGAGCUUGUUCCUGCUGUCAUUGUCUCAUGUUGGGGAAGGCAAAGAGGCUCAAAAUUCUAGACAAGGCAAAUUGUUCAGCUUGUUCAACAUCGUGACGUUUCAGCAAGACUCCUGUUCUUUGGCAUCAGAUGGAUCAAUGUUCGGAACUUGCUUGACCGCUGCGGAAUGUUCUAACCAAGGUGGAUCUGCUGACGGGAGUUGUGCCUCAGGGUUUGGAGCAUGUUGCUCAUUCACUCUCAGUGGAUGUGGCGGAACAGUAACCAAGGUUAAGUUA